AACGCUAGCUACAGGCUUAACACGUGCAAGUCGAGGGGAAACGAUAUUGGAAGCUUGCUUCCGAUAGGCGUCGACCAACGCUAGCUACAGGCUUAACACAUGCAAGUCGAGGGGCAGCGGGAUUGAAGCUUGCUUCAAUUGCCGGCGACCGGCGCACGGGUGAGUAACGCGUAUCCAACCUUCCGUACACUCAGGGAUAGCCUUUCGAAAGAAAGAUUAAUACCUGAUGGUAUGAUGAGAUUGCAUGAUAGCAUCAUUAAAGAUUUAUCGGUGUACGAUGGGGAUGCGUUCCAUUAGGUAGUAGGCGGGGUAACGGCCCACCUAGCCAGCGAUGGAUAGGGGUUCUGAGAGGAAGGUCCCCCACAUUGGAACUGAGACACGGUCCAAACUCCUACGGGAGGCAGCAGUGAGGAAUAUUGGUCAAUGGACGAGAGUCUGAACCAGCCAAGUAGCGUGAAGGAUGAAGGUCCUACGGAUUGUAAACUUCUUUUAUAAGGGAAUAAACCCUCCCACGUGUGGGAGCUUGUAUGUACCUUAUGAAUAAGCAUCGGCUAACUCCGUGCCAGCAGNCCGCGGUAAUACGGAGGAUGCGAGCGUUAUCCGGAUUUAUUGGGUUUAAAGGGAGCGCAGACGGGUCGUUAAGUCAGCUGUGAAAGUUUGGGGCUCAACCUUAAAAUUGCAGUUGAUACUGGCGUCCUUGAGUGCGGUUGAGGUGUGCGGAAUUCGUGGUGUAGCGGUGAAAUGCUUAGAUAUCACGAAGAACUCCGAUUG
rnacentral:rRNA from 1 species